rnacentral:rRNA from 1 species
GCAGUAGCCGCGGUAAUACGUAGGGGGCAAGCGUUGUCCGGAAUUAUUGGGCGUAAAGCGCGCGCAGGCGGUUUUUUAAGUCUGGUGUCUAAGUGCGGGGCUCAACCCCGUGACGCACUGGAAACUGGGAGACUUGAGUGCAGAAGAGGAGAGCGGAAUUCCACGUGUAGCGGUGAAAUGCGUAGAGAUGUGGAGGAACACCAGUGGCGAAGGCGGCUCUCUGGACUGUAACUGACGCUGAGGCGCGAAAGCGUGGGGAGCAAACAGGAUUAGAGACCCCAGUAGUCCCUGUCUCUUAUACA